rnacentral:rRNA from 1 species
CCUACGGGAGGCAGCAGUGGGGGAUAUUGCACAAUGGGGGAAACCCUGAUGCAGCGACGCCGCGUGAGUGAAGAAGUAUUUCGGUAUGUAAAGCUCUAUCAGCAGGGAAGAAAAUGACAGUACCUGCCCAAGAAGCACCGGCUAACUACGUGCCAGCAGCCGCGGUAAUACGUAGGGGGCAAGCGUUAUCCGGAUUUACUGGGUGUAAAGGGAGCGUAGACGGUUAUUUAAGUCUGGAGUGAAAUCCCGGGGCCUAACCCCGGGACUGCUUUGGAAACUGGGGAACUAGAGUGCAGGAGAGGUAGGCGGAAUUCCUGGUGUAGCGGUGAAAUGCGUAGAUAUCAGGAGGAACACCGGUGGCGAAGGCGGCAUACUGGACUGAAACUGACGUUGAGGCUCGAAAGCGUGGGGAGCAAACAGGAUUAGAUACCCGAGUAGUC